rnacentral:rRNA from 1 species
CAAUAGCGUAUAUUAAAGUUGUUGCAGUUAAAAAGCUCGUAGUUGGAUUUGUGGCGUACGGUGUGUUCCGGGCACUUGUUGUCUGAGUAACCUGCUGUUGCCAUCCUUGGGUGGAACCUGUGUGGCAUUAGGUUGUCGUGCAGGGGAUGCCCAUCAUUUACUGUGAAAAAAUUAGAGUGUUCAAAGCAGGCUUAUGCCGUUGAAUAUAUUAGCAUGGAAUAAUGAGAUAGGACUUUUUUGCUAUUUUGUUGGUUUGCGCAAAGAGGUAAUGAUUAAUAGGGACAGUUGGGGGUAUUCGUAUUCCAUUGUCAGAGGUGAAAUUCUUGGAUUUUUGGAAGACGAACUACUGCGAAAGCAUUUACCAAGGAUGUUUUCAUUA